rnacentral:lncRNA from 1 species
CCUUCCCCGGGGAGCUCCCGCAGUCGUUUUCCGCUUCUGAACGCCAUCUUGCGCCUCAACCGUGGGCGCACGGGACUCGACGCCGGGUCAUGGCCUAGCACCUCCGCCCCGCUGCCGCAGCAUCCUCUACGAGGCGUCGUCCCCCGUGGCCGUCGCUGCUGCCCGCUGGCAUGACGACGCCUCCACGUUCCAGCCCGCAACACUGGCAGCAAGGCCAACAGCAG